rnacentral:lncRNA from 1 species
UGCACCCCCCGCUCUCAGGAUGAUGGAUUUAGACCCAAAUCUGGUGAAGGUGAUCUGGAAGAGGGAAAUGAUUUCCAAAUGGAUAUUCCUCAAAACCUUUGGAAGUCAUCUGUUCAGAUUAAAGAAUCAGAUGAUGCCACAACACAAGAAUCGAGCAGUGCUUCUCCUCGUGUUAAUCCAGAACAAUCACGAGGUCCAAUUGGAGAAAUCAGGGCGAGUUGGAGCCUGACAGUGAAGAAGUCUUUGAAGAAGCAACCACCAGAUCAAGACUCACUACCUUUAAAAUACAAGUGCACGUCUGCUCGAAACGGCAUGGAUAUUAAAUUAACCAAACACAAAAAGGAAUUAUUCACUUGCAGAAGUCUUUCUCAAAGUAAGUCUUCAUAACUGUUCACAUCGGAGUGUUGAAAUCGAUGUAUUGCAUCAAUGCCGUUGAUUAAAAACUUUUAAUUGUCUGAAUUUCCUUUGUUCUCAAGCCUGAAAGAUAUUGUCAACUGAAAGAUAUUGUCUCAGGUUUCCUUGAUCAUCGCUUGAAUUGUCUUCAUCGUUUCAUGUGGUUGAAAGUUUUUCCUUUGGUCUGUGUAUACAUGUAAUUUACGAUUGUUGGUAAUCAUGGAAACUUUUUUUUUGGUCUUUCUUUAUCAGGGGCAAAUGUUAAGUAUUUAUGAGUAUUGUGAAGUUCUGAUUAUUUGAAAUCAUCUUCAAAGUAAUAUUCUAACUUUCCCUCAUCCAAUUAUUUUUGUGUCGAGAUUAAACAUCUUUCAAGACUUUUUCACAGUUCUUCUCUUUGACCCAUUUUAAACCCCCUACGGUAGAGCUUCAGACAUGGUCCAUCCACAUAAAUUAUUGGCAUCAUUGUGCAUGAAAUAAGAACUAUCGUUUAAAGUAUCAUAAUCUGCGAGGUAUUUGUGAUUUGCCUCAGCAUAUCUCUUUCAACACACUUGUGAUAUCCCACUUCUCUUUUUGGAAGCAAAAUAUCUGCAUCCAAAAUUAAUUCUAAUGCUUUUUUGUCAUCUUUAGCAGAGCACUCCAGGCUAAUCCAUGGGCUGUGUAAUCACGGUGUUUGGGAGGACUCCAUAUAGAGGGUUGAUACGGAAUAAAAAUGGUCACGCAUUCAAAUGUGUUCACAAUGAUAUGCUCAUAAACUCCAAUAGAGUGAAGUCAUAGCAUUUAAAGCACACAACCUUUUAUUUUCAAGCUUUUCCGAAACGACCACUACUUAAAUAGGUACAAAAUACAUCGUGAAAACACCACGAGAGAUCGCUAAAUCGCCAAUUUGUACUUCAUCUUCGUCACCUCUCAAAACAAUGUAAAAUUGUAGCCCGACCUACCUCAUACAACUGCUGAAGCCGUGAUGGUGAUAACAAUGCGAGGAAGUCACUUUGUCUCUGGGCUAGUGCAUGUUAACCAAAAUUUCAAAAUAUAUAAAUUAUUCAUCGUUUUCUUACAGGAAUCAUUUGAACGUCAAUAUUGACUCAACCAAACCAGUCCAGGAUCGUGACGGGGGAGGGGGGAGGGAAAUGGACACGGGACAGAACCAUUCCCAAACCGAUACAUAUCCAAACCAUCACCCAAAUCAACUAAAACAAGUUUUGAAACAUAUCAUGACAUAGAUGGAUUACAUCUGUACCAAAAUGUAGGAAACAUUGAAAAUAAAUAGAACGUUCAGAACCUGUGAAAAGUGUCACCGCAAUGAGCUUGAGGUCAUGUGACCAGCGCCAUUUUCGUUAUCAUCACUUGGCUGACUCACGUCGUGGAUCAAGGUGGUUUUGAACACGUCCCAGAUUGAAAAAGCCAAAUAAAUGUUGAAAUGACAUUUUGUGCGGUAAUAAACUGUUCCAAUCUAUAAUGGGAGGGUUGUGGAAAGUUGUUUCACAGGUAUUCUUAUAUGUUGUUGAAUAGGAAUGGUCGAAUUUUACUCCAAAUAUCACUGCAGUAUUGCAGCUUCUCAUUUGGCAUUCAUCACAUGAACACUGCUGGUGGAAAAUCGAUUUGUUUGUGGGUUGCAAAUGGCUUUGUAAUAUUUUUUAUGGAGGAAGGAUUAACAGGGGUGAUUAACGAGUGUAUUUAUGUUAACAGUCACCAUUAAUCCCACCUUCUCGUCUGUUCAGCGAAGGGAAGUUUUACCCGAGUCUUUCACGAACUGGCUGUUGUCGGCGAUAACUCCACAGCUGAGAUGUGAGUGAGCAACGGGACGUCCAGUUGAACGUCCUUCCAAGGAACGGCACACAUAUUGAUUGAUCACCCUGCAUGUCAAACACUGGGUGGACAGUUUAGAGCUGGGUCGGGAUUUGAACCCAGGCUUGACAGCUGAUAAGACGAGUAUGCAACAGGAUGUCCAAGUUUACGUCCAUCCGAGGGACGGCACACACAUUGAUUAAUCACCCUGCCUGUGAAACCCCCUAAUGUCAUUUUACAGCUGGGUCGGGAUUCGAACCCAGGUUAGACAGGUUCGAGACAGGCGAGUGUGUGACGGGACAUCCAGUUUAACGUCUAUCCGAGGGAUGGCACACACCGAGAUGAAUCACCUUCCUGCAGCAAACAUACACAUUCUCUUGCUGCUCACUCUGCCAACAAUUUGGGUAUGCCUAUACAUAAAGUUGGUUGUAUUUCAAUCCGUUGAUUUGCAUCAUUUUGGGAUGUAAUAAAAAAAAACGACAGGUAAAUUCACGUUUUCAAUUUUAACCCAAAAAAUUGUGAAACGGGCAGAUUUGAUCUUUGUCAGCUUCCUUAAAACACCGUGAGUUCUUCACAUUCCCAAAUAUACAAGAGUUGUUCUCGAACGUUAUUGUGAAAAGGAAAGUGAAAUUGUUACGAUGAUAAAGUUUACUGUUGUAUACUAUCGUACAAAAGGUGGAAAAAACGCGAUCGUUUUUCUUUCUAAAUUGCAUACAAAUGCAUAACGGAAAUCACCUUCACCAAGCAUCGAGUGCUAACCAAUAUGGCGUCCCGCAGCUGCACCGGGCUAUGUGUGUUGUGAAUGCCAAUGAGCAUUCCAUUUAUUUUCAGUUCUGUUUUGGUAAUUCACAAAGUUAACUGAGACAAAAGCCAGGAUUGAGGGGAGGGAGGAAGGGUUUAUUGUUCGGUAAGCCAAAUUUAAAAUUAUCGAUGGAUUUAAUCCAUUCCAAAAUAACAAAAUAUAUAAAACAUGAGGCAUUUUAUUGUUUUUUUUAAACAACAUACACAUAGACAUUUCCGUACAUGAUUUGUGGUAAUCCACAUGAUGGACGAAGACAAAAGCCAGGAUUGAGGGGGUCGGGGUACAAUGUACCAUAAACCGAAUUUAAUAACGCAACAUAUUUUGACAUUUUACUUUUGUUGUGGUAUCGAGUUGGAUGAAGAAUAAAAAUGAAAAAUGACAUCACAAUACUCUUCUGGUUUUGCAUCACAAUAUCUUUUGCAAUCCCACAACAAAAGUAAAAUGUUGAAAGAUGUGAUGGUGAUCCAUCAGAGGAUUGUGGUGUUGUAUUGUGGAAUCGUAAUGUGGUGUCAUUCCUUCCUUGUUUGGUUGUUUUUUUUUUUUGAAGAUUUCAUCCCUCCAUGUUUUAACAUUUUUAUUAAAAUGUUCUUUUUUUCUUGGAUUGAUGAGGGUUACUCUGGCAAACUUCCCUGAACUUUUCAAAUAUUGUACAUCUUUGAGUAACUAAAUGUCAGUUUUGAGAUGGAGUUUGUGGUAUUCACCGAGGUGUUGAAAUUAAACUUACUACACACUGUUUUACGCAUGUUGAUCGUCUUCCUCGGAUAUAUGAGUUUUAUUCACCUCAUUGUGGAAACCCUUUUGGAUGGUUUUGUGAUUCAUCACAUCUACGAAAGUUGUCUGCAUAGUAAUAUGUGUGAACUCCUUUUUGGGAUGUGAGCUUAAUUUUUUUCUUGGUCAGAAUAAUUUGUUUCGAGAUUUGAAAAUAUUUAAAGACUCGAUGCUAUAAAGGUAGAUUAAGGACUUGCCAUUCAUGUGUGUGUUUCAAGAAAUCUAAGAUGAGUUUUGUGAGUUGGGAUUGUUUUUGUAAAAGUAAUGCAUUUCCGGUCUGUGUUGGAAAUGGCUGUGAUGUCUCCUGGUAUCUCGCAUCGUUCAUGUGUGAAUAAAUAUGUCGUUGGUUGGCAUUGUUGUAAAGAAAGACUGGGAUGAAAGACGGAGGUUUAUAAUUGAGAUUAUAACUUUGAUGAGCAACUCAUCUAUUUUUCAGGAUGAUGACAAUGGUCUACAACUUUUGGUACUUUCUCAACCUUCUCUGAAGAGCUGAUUAUUUAAUCUGGACAACGAUAGCAAAUCAUAGAGGUCUUAAAAUCUCCCUCAUCGCAUCAAGGAUGCUUUCAAAGUCGGCGUAUAUUAUAAACUAGCAAAUACCACCUGAUGCUUUGCUGAUGAUACUGAAAGGGGGUGGUAGGGUGACAUGGAGGAGGGAGAGUGGAAACGAGAGCAAGGAAGGAGGAGAGAUAAAGGAUGGGGGAAAACAAUGGCCAAACCACACGGCGCUAUACCCUCCAGGAAGGAGGGUGAUGGGAGAGAGUAAAGGAGGAGAAAAGGAGAGAGAGCGAGGCGGGGGGAAGAGUGACACCUCUGCACACAUCGCGAAACACUCCAGGAGGAAGGUGUGCAAGGAG